GUGCAACUAAGUCUCCCACUACAUAUAGCUGCUAUCUUCAUGAAAGAGAAAAGGUCAGUGGAAGGUGGACAGUCCCAUGGAAGAGAGAAAAACAGAAGGAGUCCUGCAGGGUACACCCCCGCGUGUACCUUCGAACCACAGAUAGAGCAGAGUAGAUGCAAAUGAACAAGGACAUCUUUUGGGUAAGGAGCAAUAUCAUGCAAUUUUAAGUACUGCUCCAAUACCAUUCUUACCUAACAGGUUAUAACUGACCUUCUACAGAAGGUCUGUCACGGUAGGUGCUCUGGUGAGGUAACCAGAGCAUUCCACAGAUGACAGUUAUGGCCUUCCAUAACAACAGAGAGAAGCAAAGGCUGCUUUAUACUACCAUCUCAGGUAGGGAAGCUCACUUCAUCCUACAAUCAUCUCCAGAGGACAGCAUCACUAUUAACUUUAAAGAUGGAGAAACUGACCACACAGAGGUUAUGCGAUUUGCUCCCUAAACUGCACAGCUACUAAGCAGCAAAGCGUGUCAACCCCAAAGCUUAGCCUGAGCAAGGCUUAUGAUCAGAGUCGGCAAGAUUAUCAAAGCUACUGCACAUGCUGAGGGCACACAGUGGCUUUAGGAGAGAAAAACUCCAGAGGCCCAAGCUGGAGCUCUUUCACAACACAAAUUGAGGUGUGGACUCAUACCUACCCAAUGUUGCUGCCCAAGCUCUGAAUUCCUGAACUUCGCUACCCUGUGUUCCACUUCAAAACUCCACUCAUGGGAACCACGUACAACUUCACAUAAACUCAGAGAAGGCAAAUUGACUUAUCUGUAACGUCUCAGAGAGCUUCCAUGGGAAACAAAAUUAUAUGUCUUAAUCAUUACCCACAACACAUUCCCCAUCAGUGCUCAAUGCUAGAUAAAUACAUUUCUUCAAUUGUGCCUUUGUGUCUGGUGUCUUCCAAGCCAUUAAAACUGAUAUUUGGGGGGGGAAAUUGUCUCUAAUUUGUGAAACUUGGAAUCCACUUUGGUGUAUGAAAUAUAAAUACGCUCGAAAAUGAAAACACU
rnacentral:lncRNA from 1 species